AUUCCAGCUCCAAUAGCGUAUAUUAAAGUUGUUGCGGUUAAAAAGCUCGUAGUUGGAUUUCUGUUGAGGUUGGGCGGUCCGCACUACGUGCGAGUAUCUGCUUCGGCCUUGGCAUCCUCUCGGAAAACGCUACUGUGCUUGAUUGCAUGGUGCGGGGUUCGGGACUUUUACUUUGAGGAAAUUAGAGUGUUCACGGCAGGCAAUCGCCCUGAAUAUAUUAGCAUGGAAUAAUAAUAUAGGAUCUGAUGCCUAUUUUGUUGGUUUCUAGGCGUGAGAUAAUGAUUAAUAGGGACAAUUGGGGGGAUUCGUAUUAUGGCGUCAGAGGUGGAAUUCUUGGAUUGCCAUACGACGAACUACUGCGAAAGCAUUUCUCAGGGAUGUUUUCAUCG
rnacentral:rRNA from 1 species